rnacentral:lncRNA from 10 species
GUGUGUCUGUGAGGGUGUUGCCAAAGGAGAUUAACAUUUGAGUCGGUGGGCCGGGAAAGACAGUCCCACCCUCAAUUUGGUUGGGCAUCAUCUGAUCAGCUGCCAGCACAGCUAGAAUACAAAAAGCAGGCAGAAAAAUGUGAAACGAUGAGACUGGCCUAGCCUCCCAGUCUACAUCUUACUCUUGUGCUGUAUGCUUCCUGCCCUCCAACAUCGGACUCCAAAUUCUUCAGUUUUGGGACUCAGACCGGCUUGCCUUACUCCUCAGCUUGCAGACAGCCUAUUGUGGGACCUUGUGCUCGUGUUGGCCCUCAAUGGAUUGGAUGACGCCUGCCCACACUGAGAACACUUAAGAUCAAUCCUCUUAGCAAUUCUCAAGUGUAUAAUACAGCAUCGUUAAUGGUAAUCACUGCACUAUGUAUUAGAUCUCCAGAGCUCAUUCAUCUUGUGUAACUGAAACUUGGGACUCUUUGAUCAACAACUUCCCAUUUCCUGCCAUCCCACUCCAUCCCCAUCCCUGGCAACCACAACUCUACUCUCUGCUUCUGUGAGUUUGCCUAUGUUGGAUUCUACAUGCAGAAGAUUGCAACCUCCCAUUAUGAAACAGCAUCAUAAAAUGCAGAGCACAGCUACCCUGACUAAAACCACCUUUCUCCUCUGCUGAUACAGACAAACUAGCAGUAAAUGCUUUUUGAGCUCCCGGCGUGCAGAUAAAUUCCUACGGACAUCCCCAAUUGGACUGAAAGAUUGAGACACACAAGGGAGAGAAUAGCUGAGGCCAGGAGAAUUUAACAUGGCAAUUAGCAACCCUUCAACUUUGCCAGACCCCACAGCACAAGACAGGAUGGAGGUAACCAAAAAUCUCUCCAGAAGAGUAGUUGAUAAAUUGAUUGGGUCCCAGGGGUUGCUGGACACAGUUAUUAUCCAAUUGCAGGCCUGGAUGGUGUGCAAGUCUAUGUAGUGAAGUCAGAAAAUGAAACAGGGCUUUAAAUUCCCAAGGGGAGCUCCUUUGCUUAUGUAUCCAUUGCUGCACCCUUUCCCCUCAUUUUGGAAGACUCUGAAUCACAUCACAUAGUGUGUAUUAUCUUCUCUAACUGAACAAACAAGUUCUAAAACAUAAAAUAUAUAAAACAACUGUAACCAUUAUCAUCAAUGAUUCUGUUCUUAAGAAGUUAGAAAAGUAAAAUAUAAAAUUAAAAUUGAAAAUAUUUAAAGACUUCCAGAAUUUUUUUUUUUUUUAAAGCAGAGGGAGGGUGUGUGGGGGAAGAGGAAUUUUAAUCCUCUUUCUGUAUCAAUUCUGAUGGCUGCUUUUAAGAAUUAUUUUAACCAUCA